rnacentral:rRNA from 1 species
AUUGAACGCUGGCGGCAGGCCUAACACAUGCAAGUCGAACGGUAACAGGAAACAGCUUGCUGUUUCGCUGACGAGUGGCGGACGGGUGAGUAAUGUCUGGGAAACUGCCUGAUGGAGGGGGAUAACUACUGGAAACGGUAGCUAAUACCGCAUAACGUCGCAAGACCAAAGAGGGGGACCUUCGGGCCUCUUGCCAUCGGAUGUGCCCAGAUGGGAUUAGCUAGUAGGUGGGGUAACGGCUCACCUAGGCGACGAUCCCUAGCUGGUCUGAGAGGAUGACCAGCCACACUGGAACUGAGACACGGUCCAGACUCCUACGGGAGGCAGCAGUGGGGAAUAUUGCACAAUGGGCGCAAGCCUGAUGCAGCCAUGCCGCGUGUAUGAAGAAGGCCUUCGGGUUGUAAAGUACUUUUCAGCGGGGAGGAAGGGAGUAAAGUUAAUACCUUUGCUCAUUGACGUUACCCGCAGAAGAAGCACCGGCUAACUCCGUGCCAGCAGCCGCGUUAAUACGGAGGGUGCAAGCGUUAAUCGGAAUUACUGGGCGUAAAGCGCACGCAGGCGGUUUGUUAAGUCAGAUGUGAAAUCCCCGGGCUCAACCUGGAACUGCAUCUGAUACUGGCAAGCUUGAGUCUCGUAGAGGGGGGUAGAAUUCCAAGGUGUAGCGGUGAAAUGCGUAGAGAUCUGGAGGAAUACCGGUGGCGAAGGCGGCCCCCUGGACGAAGACUGACGCUCAGGUGCGAAAGCGUGGGGAGCAAACAGGAUUAGAUACCCUGGUAGUCCACGCCGUAAACGAUGUCGACUUGGAGGUUGUGCCCUUGAGGCGUGGCUUCCGGAGCUAACGCGUUAAGUCGACCGCCUGGGGAGUACGGCCGCAAGGUUAAAACUCAAAUGAAUUGACGGGGGCCCGCACAAGCGGUGGAGCAUGUGGCUUAAUUCGAUGCAACGCGAAGAACCUUACCUGGUCUUGACAUCCACAGAACCUUGUAGAGAUACGAGGGUGCCUUCGGGAACUGUGAGACAGGUGCUGCAUGGCUGUCGUCAGCUCGUGUUGUGAAAUGUUGGGUUAAGUCCCGCAACGAGCGCAACCCUUAUCCUUUGUUGCCAGCGGUCCGGCCGGGAACUCAAAGGAGACUGCCAGUGAUAAACUGGAGGAAGGUGGGGAUGACGUCAAGUCAUCAUGGCCCUUACGACCAGGGCUACACACGUGCUACAAUGGCGCAUACAAAGAGAAGCGACCUCGCGAGAGCAAGCGGACCUCAUAAAGUGCGUCGUAGUCCGGAUUGGAGUCUGCAACUCGACUCCAUGAAGUCGGAAUCGCUAGUAAUCGUGGAUCAGAAUGCCACGGUGAAUACGUUCCCGGGCCU